rnacentral:tRNA from 1 species
CGGGGUGGAGCAGCCUGGUAGCUCGUCGGGCUCAUAACCCGAAGGUCGUCGGUUCAAAUCAUUUAAACACCUGAA